UUACGGCCACAUCACGUUGAAAAACUGGGUAACAUACGGUCACUGAAGUUAAGCAACAUUGAGCCUGGUCAGUACUUAGACCUGGUGACUGCUUGGGAAUAUCAGGUGCUGUAAG